AUUUUGAACCGCAUGGUUCAAAAGUGAAAGACGGUCUUGCUGUCACUUAUAGAUGGAUCCGCGCUGCAUUAGCUAGUUGGUAAGGUAACGGCUUACCAAGGCAACGAUGCAUAGCCGACCUGAGAGGGUGAUCGGCCACACUGGAACUGAGACACGGUCCAGACUCCUACGGGAGGCAGCAGUAGGGAAUCUUCCGCAAUGGGCGAAAGCCUGACGGAGCAACGCCGCGUGAGUGAUGAAGGUCUUCGGAUCGUAAAACUCUGUUAUUAGGGAAGAACAUAUGUGUAAGUAACUGUGCACAUCUUGACGGUACCUAAUCAGAAAGCCACGGCUAACUACGUGCCAGCAGCCGCGGUAAUACGUAGGUGGCAAGCGUUAUCCGGAAUUAUUGGGCGUAAAGCGCGCGUAGGCGGUUUUUUAAGUCUGAUGUG
rnacentral:rRNA from 1 species